CUUGCUUUGGCAACAUAUAUAUUAAAUUGGAACAAUACAGAGAAGAUUAGUAUGGACCCUGCACAAGAAAAGUCAAGAGCAAGUCCAUGAGGCAUGCCAAAAAUUA